AACGAACGCUGGCGGCAGGCUUAACACAUGCAAGUCGAGCGCCCCGCAAGGGGAGCGGCAGACGGGUGAGUAACGCGUGGGAAUCUACCCAUCUCUACGGAAUAACGCAUGGAAACGUGUGCUAAUACCGUAUACGUCCCUCGGGAGAAAGAUUUAUCGGAGAUGGAGGAGCCCGCGUUGGAUUAGCUAGUUGGUGGGGUAAAGGCCUACCAAGGCGACGAUCCAUAGCUGGUCUGAGAGGAUGAUCAGCGACACUGGGACUGAGACACGGCCCAGAAUACUAGGGGAGGCAGCAGUGGGGAAUAUUGGAAAAUGGGCUGAAGCCUGAUCCAGCCAGGCCGCGUGAGUGAUGAAGGCGCUAGGGUUGUAAAGCUCUUUCACAGGUGAAGAUGAUGACGGUAACCGGAGAAGAAGCCCCGGCUAACUUCGUGCCAGCCGCCGCCGUAACAC
rnacentral:rRNA from 1 species